AUUGAACGCUGGCGGCAUGCCUUACACAUGCAAGUCGAACGGCAGCAUGGAGAGCUUGCUCUCUGAUGGCGAGUGGCGAACGGGUGAGUAAUGCAUCGGAACGUACCGUGUAAUGGGGGAUAACGUAGCGAAAGUUACGCUAAUACCGCAUACGACCUGAGGGUGAAAGCAGGGGAUCGCAAGACCUUGCGUUAUACGAGCGGCCGAUGUCAGAUUAGCUAGUUGGUGAGGUAAAGGCUCACCAAGGCGACGAUCUGUAGCGGGUCUGAGAGGAUGAUCCGCCACACUGGGACUCGGACACGGCCCAGACUCCUACGGGAGGCAGCAGUGGGGAAUUUUGGACAAUGGGGGCAACCCUGAUCCAGCCAUGCCGCGUGAGUGAAGAAGGCCUUCGGGUUGUAAAGCUCUUUCGGCCGGGAGGAAAUCGCACAGGCUAAUACUCUGUGUGGAUGACGGUACCGGCAUAAGAAGCACCGGCUAACUACGUGCCAGCCGCCGCCGUAA
rnacentral:rRNA from 1 species